rnacentral:rRNA from 1 species
CACGUACUGUGCGAACGUUAUUCGGAAUCACUGGGCUUAAAGGGUGCGUAGGCGGCGAUUCAAGUCAGAUGUGAAAUGCCUGAGCUCAACUGAGGCAUUGCGUUUGAAACUGAUUCGCUAGAGUAUUUCAGGGGUGUGCGGAACUGCCAGUGGAGCGGUGAAAUGUGUUGAUAUUGGCAGGAACACCGGAGGCGAAAGCGGCACACUGGGGAAUAACUGACGCUGAGGCACGAAAGCUAGGGGAGCGAACGGGAUUAGAUACCCCGGUAGUCCUAGCUGUAAACGAUGAGCACUGGGCGGGAGGGGGUUUCCCCUUUCUGCCGUAGCGAAAGCGUUAAGUGCUCCGCCUGGGGAGUAUGGUCGCAAGGCUG